rnacentral:lncRNA from 1 species
AACAUCUUGUCACUGGUCUAGGGAAGCAGCUCAUCAAUCUGGUUUAUUGAUUGAUUGAACAGUGAUUAAAUCAGAUCAAUAGAAAGUGACAUUAGUCUACAUGGCCAUCAGUAAGAUUUGUUUUGAAAGUGCAACUGUCACGGCUCACCAGUUUCAUAGUUGACCACCAUCAGAUGUUGCCACUGCCAGCUAAACACCUCUGACCAAGUUUGGUCCAUGAAGCUCCAAAUGAGAACACUGGCCAAUUCGUUAUCUGUCUGUUAGGAAAUGAGGCCUUACAGCAGUGUCAAAAACAGUUUGCACCAUUAUAUCACAACUAUUACUUUAGUGCUGAAAUAUUCAAUACAAUCAAGUGAGAAUUUAAGUAAAAUAAGUUAAUAAGGUGUUGUAUAUAAAUUAGUCAAGUUUGGUAUCUUAACCUGGGGAUCCAAGGGAAUUGACUCACUGUUGGAGUUGGUCUCAAGUGGCCAUUUGAGGAACUGCAGCUUUUGUCGCUUCACCAUCAGCUUUAGUUUGAGUGUUUGCUGAACAUUUUGAUCUUUUCCUUUCCAAACUUUUGAUCUCUUACUUUUGUCAUUAAGUCAGUUUGCCAACUGUGAAAACCUAGAUCAUUUAAAGCAUUUCACAUCUUUACCCUACAAAAGCCUGUCCAGUCUGCGGAAUAAGGUAUACCAUGAACAUACUGACUUGGAUGUAUAAGUACAAGAGAGCUAUCUGGUUUAAUUUGUGUUUGAUCGUACUGUAUGCAUGCCACCUUGUCUCAUCUCUUUUCUUUUAACCACCAAUUAUCCUUCCUGACAUGUCUUUGGCUGCUUCUUCUGUAACAUUACAAAGUUAAACUAAAACAUAUUAUUAUGUGUUUAUCUUAAAUUGUGUUUUAAUAGAAUAUAAACCCAAGAACUAGCCUUGGCCAAUUUAGUCUGUCUGGAGGCUAUAGAGGGAUUUUAACCACAUAAAGACUGUAAAUACCCCAUAAUUGCCCCAACUUGCCCACAGGCUUAUCCCUUCUCACAAAAUGAGUCGGAUCAAAGUUUCGUUUGGGGUUGGGUAUCAUAUAGACUGUCAAAUCUCUGAUAGAUGCACAUGCACACCCUUCAUAAGAUGUCCUGAAGGACUAGGACUUUCUCUCAGUUGAUUUCUUUGUAUUAAAGAGAGGAAGACAUGAUAAAGUCUGAAACACCAUCCAUGUUUUCACAACACAUUAAUCCCCUGCAUCACUAAUGAUCAAUAAUGUGCUGACGUUAUUGGACGAGCUGACCGGUCGCCUGUGAUUCCCAUGUUGAAUCCUAAUGUUCUGCUUUCUGCAGCUGUGUGUGCACGCAGAGGAGGAUCCUCAGGAGAGCAGCGCUACAGCUGAGGCCCGGCAGGUCCGGCAUGGACCUGUGCAUGUGCAACGUGGUUCAGGAAAUAAUACUUGUGUAACAGGAGCCUUUAAAGAAACAUUUAAACUAUAUUGUCAACCGGAAUACAUCGGCAGUAAUGUUACUGACAGGAAGGAAACAACAGAUAGGGAUUCAAACUGCCAAUAAAAUCUGAAAAACUAAGAACUAGAGGUAUUACAAAAAGCACAGACAGAUUUUUCACAAAAGAAUGCAAAUUUAAAAAACUAUGUGGUCAUAAAUGGUAUUUUUAAUUCAUAAAAAAGACCCUCAUUGUUUGAUAGCUCAAAACCCCAUUAGCUGCAUUACUGUUUUAAUUCAAGGAUCAAACCACAAACUCAAAGCUCAGUCUUCCUUUGUACCAGAUAGGAUUGCAGCUGUUACUUGUUUUAGGAAAGAAAGAAAGAAAGAAAGAAAGAAAGAAAGAAAAAGACAGAAAAAGAAGUAAGAAAGAAAGAAAGAAAGUAAAAAGAAACAAAUAGAUAGAUAGAUAGAUAGAUAGAUAGAUAGAUAGAUAGAUAGAUAGAUAGAUAGAUAGAUAGAUAGAUAGAUAGAUAGAUAGAUAGAUACUGAGCAUAUAAAAGGCUGAUCCUAGUUUUCAUUGUUGGGAUUUGUUGCUUGAAGACGUACACGGGCUGAAGAAUAUGUUGCGUGUCGCUCAACAAUGACGCUGCUUGAUAUGACAAACCAUUUUGCUCUGUAACAUGAUAGAGAGCAGAUGUAGGCUACAUGUCGUGAGCAGGUAUCUCAGGUUCAUGCAAUAAGGAAUGUCCACCAUUGUUGUGCGACAUAAGAUCCAACCCUCAGGAGAGAUCCCGUCCUCUCUCUCUGACACACGAAGAGUCCAUAAGAGCCACAGUCCUGUUAGCAACCAUAUGGGACAGUGAGGAGAUCCUCUGACAACACUCUGCUGAGGACACCAUCACCCUAUGGGAGUAUUUCACAGAUAAAGGCCUUCAACUAAGUACUUCCUGCUUUUUCUUCACAUAGGUACAAAGUGCAGCUCCGACAAUGAAACGCAAAUACUUUCAGUGUAAAAGUGAAAUGGAUCGUUUAUCACUGACUUCUUGAACAAACCAAACAACUGCUAUAGAAAAGUUUUGUUACGCCUCACUAUUCCACCAUAUAGAGAAAUAUCAGAGAGAAGGCAAGGCAAAAGGGAGCCUGGGAAUGAAGCUUGUUUGGAAGCGAGCUUGGCCCCACAGGGUUAAAAUCUAGACUCUACUGCCCUUUACUCCUUGAUUUUGAUAAAGGGAGAGAGGAGAGAGAAAUGGGAUCAAAAGUAAGAUUCUUCACAAAAGUAGACCAAUGUUUGUGGAUUUACCAGCUCUAGAUAUUUACAAAUGGCUUCCAAAUUUCUAUCCAACGUAGGGGUCACCAUGCAUGACAGGGUUAAAUCUAGCAACUCCAACACACUGAGCUAUCCCACCUUAAAGGGAUACUCCAGCAUAAAUUCAAGUUAUGGUCAAACACACCGAAACAUCAAGUUGGACACCCCUUCAAGAGAUGAAUGUUGCUAACUGCUUGCUUCUCUACCAACUUCAGUAACAACCACACGAUAGCAAUACAUUGCGGUCUACGUCUCCACCCGCAAACCUCAACCAAAACGCCA